UACGUAGGGACCAAGCGUUGUUCGGAUUUACUGGGCGUAAAGGGCGCGUAGGCGGCGUGUUAAGUCACUUGUGAAAUCUCUGAGCUUAACUCAGAACGGUCAAGUGAUACUGAUGUGCUAGAGUGCAGAAGGGGCAACUGGAAUUCUCGGUGUAGCGGUGAAAUGCGUAGAUAUCGAGAGGAACACCUGCGGCGAAGGCGGGUUGCUGGGCUGACACUGACGCUGAGGCGCGAAAGCUAGGGGAGCAAACAGG
rnacentral:rRNA from 1 species